AUUAUGCAAAAAUAACCCCGCUUUGCGCUGUUGUUUCGCUUUACGCUCAAUAUUUUUGGAACGUAACCCCGCGUUAAGCGGGGUAUUACUGUAUAUUUGUAUUAUAUCACUGUAUAUAUGUAGCAUUACUGGCUGCGCAUGCUCCUGCCUAUUUCUACUUUCCCCUAUUUCGACCGAGAAUGUCGGUGAGAGAGAACGAGCACGUUUUUCAGCCGAAAAUUCCGAGUCACGAACACUAACACACACAACUCGACAACAAAUAAAAAUCCGAUUUUCACAAACGAUCCCACGACAUAUUUAUUAUUAAAUAUUGUUCGUUUUGCAUUCAAUUGAUUCUCACUACAACAAUGGUUCAUCAUUAUUAUCAAUUUGUAGAAACCAUAAAGGUGAUAGUCCAAUUGUAUCAGUAAAAAAGAUGAAUAGCUGUUCGCUAUUUUUAGGCAUUGGUAAUCUUUUGGUUUGGUUUCCAUUAUAUUACGUUAUUUUGCCUAUUUUCAAUCAUACAACAUUCUCUUAUUGUAACAUUGAAGAAUUCUUUUCCAAACGUUUUGCGGUUCUGUCUCUGUGCAUUUUUAGUUUAUGGAGGAUUUUGUUUUUGUGGUUGGGUCGUUUUGGGUCCUCAUCAUCUCAAAUUUCGUACGCUUAGUUCAACAUUGGAAUGUUUGUUUUCACUUAUAAACGGUGAUGAUAUGUUUGCUA